AUACCGUUUGCGGGAGAGAGCAGCGACUUGCUGCCGCCGAAGGGGAAAUCGCCCGAAAUCUCUCAGGCAAAUGAACCGUAAGCGGGAC
rnacentral:ncRNA from 1 species